GAUGAACGCUGGCGGCGUGCCUAAUACAUGCAAGUCGAGCGAACGGACGAGAAGCUUGCUUUUCUGAUGUUAGCGGCGGACGGGUGAGUAACACGUGGAUAACCUACCUAUAAGACUGGGAUAACUUCGGGAAACCGUAGCUAAUACCGGAUAAUAUUUUGAACCGCAUGGUUCAAAAGUGAAAGACGGUCUUGCUGUCACUUAUAGAUGGAUCCGCGCUGCAUUAGCUAGUUGGUAAGGUAACGGCUUACCAAGGCAACGAUGCAUAGCCGACCUGAGAGGGUGAUCGGCCACACUGGGACUGAGACACGGUCCAGACUCCUACGGGAGGCAGCAGUAGGGAAUCUUCCGCAAUGGGCGAAAGCCUGACGGAGCAACGCCGCGUGAGUGAUGAAGGUCUUCGGAUCGUAAAACUCUGUUAUUAGGGAAGAACAUAUGUGUAAGUAACUGUGCACAUCUUGACGGUACCUAAUCAGAAAGCCACGGCUAACUACGUGCCGGCAGCCGCGGUAAUACGUAGGUGGCAAGCGUUAUCCGGAAUUAUUGGGCGUAAAGCGCGCGUAGGCGGUUUUUUAGUCUGAUGUGAAAGCCCACGGCUCACCGUGGAGGGUCAUUGGAAACUGGAAAACUUGAGUGCAGAAGAGGAAAGUGGAAUUCCAUGUGUAGCGGUGAAAUGCGCAGAGAUAUGGAGGAACACCAGUGGCGAAGGCGACUUUCUGGUCUGUAACUGACGCUGAUGUGCGAAAGCGUGGGGAUCAAACAGGAUUAGAUACCCUGGUAGUCCACGCCGUAAACGAUGAGUGCUAAGUGUUAGGGGGUUUCCGCCCCUUAGUGCUGCAGCUAACGCAUUAAGCACUCCGCCUGGGGAGUACGACCGCAAGGUUGAAACUCAAAGGAAUUGACGGGGACCCGCACAAGCGGUGGAGCAUGUGGUUUAAUUCGAAGCAACGCGAAGAACCUUACCAAAUCUUGGCAUCCUUUGACAACUCUAGAGAUAGAGCCUCCCCCUUCGGGGGACAAAGUGACAGGUGGUGCAUGGUUGUCGUCAGCUCGUGUCGUGAGAUGUUGGGUUAAGUCCCGCAACGAGCGCAACCCUUAAGCUUAGUUGCCAUCAUUAAGUUGGGCACUCUAAGUUGACUGCCGGUGACAAACCGGAGGAAGGUGGGGAUGACGUCAAAUCAUCAUGCCCCUUAUGAUUUGGGCUACACACGUGCUACAAUGGACAAUACAAAGGGCAGCGAAACCGCGAGGUCAAGCAAAUCCCAUAAAGUUGUUCUCAGUUCGGAUUGUAGUCUGCAACUCGACUACAUGAAGCUGGAAUCGCUAGUAAUCGUAGAUCAGCAUGCUACGGUGAAUACGUUCCCGGGUCU
rnacentral:rRNA from 1 species